ensembl:lncRNA
AAAAUACUGAAUCCAAGGGAAUAAUGUGGAAUGGCUGAUGAACCAGGGAGGAAGAAAAACCAAAAAUCACGGUCUUGCCAUGGGUUUGGUGAGAACUUGGAGAAGCACAAGCCAGGGGCUCACAGGUUUCUAGUUUCAUAACUGAUGCGUCUCCCUGCUGGUCUUUCAGCUCAGCUAGAUGGGAGCUGGGGUAUGGAGUGGGGGAAGAGAAGAGAAAAGCAAAACAAAAUAAGCAAACAAAAUGAUGGAGACAGGAGACAAACUGGUAGGAGAAAACAAAGGGCCACGCAGCAUGCAGAAUCUUAGCUCCCUGACCAGGCAGAGAACCCAUACACCUGGCGGUGGAAGCACAGAAUCUUAACUGGAAGAUCACCAGGGAAGUACCCAGAAUGGGUCAUUUUAAAUUAAAAGCAGAUAAACUGUUCUCGACCCAUCCCCCAGAUUUAUUUAUAAAAAGAAAAGAAAGCCACCUUUAAAAAGGUGUGGGGAGUAAAAGGUACAACCCUAAACCCUGGACACGGCACAUAAAAUAAACUUACAAAGACUGAAAGUUAGAGAGAAGGCAAACCCAGGUAGGGAAACUCAGGGCCCAAGGAAUGAAUGGUGGUGAGUUCCCUGGAUUUUUGCAUUGCUUCAUAUAUUACCAGAUAAGGAAAUACAAAACCAGAAACCCAGAUAUGCCAAAAGGCACAGAUGAAAAAUGGCAGGCCACCAAAAGCAUGCUCUUUCAGCCAAAGGACCAAGAAAGGAGCAACAAAGCAAAACAAACAAAAAAAAUAAACUUUUAUAAUGAUUAAUUGCUUUCUUCCAGCUAUAUGAGACAGAAAAAAAAAAAUGUGGCCCCACCCCAUCCAUACCAACAAAGGCCAAGUAGGGAGCCUAGACUGUCACCCUCACCGGGCUGAAACAGCAUACCCCAACUCCCCUUACCUCCA